GUUGUUGUAAUUACGUUCUCGCGUAAUGUCGUGUUAAUGGGAAAAUUUUUAAGCUUGUUAUGGUCCACACGUUUCAAAUAAUGCUUUUUGAAGCCCUAGAAAUGUUAUUUUAAUGGACGUGUGGUGAUAGCACACUGGUUCGUUCCGAAAGUUGCCAACUUUGAUCUUCAGGAAGGUUCUACAUGUAUAAUGUUUGCUACCAGAAGAAAGAAAAAAAACCUAAGAAAGGGACCUAAGCUCCAACAACUGAAAACGUAAAUAAUGAAUCGCGAGGGUGACUUACGGCCGGCAGUCAGGGUAUGGUGAAGGAUACAGCUCAACAAGACUGUUGCUACUUUAAUGAUCGCCAUCACUUUAAAUCCAAUUUUGGUGGACAGAAAAUCUAUAUCAACCUGGAAAGAAGAAACGGAACGGCCACACACAUAAGUGACUCAGACGGUCGCCUUUUGGAUCACUUCACUCGCUUGUAUCGAGGAUGAUGGUAACCAGUUGUACUCUUCGAAAUGGAAGGAUGUUCAAGACACUGGAAAGUGUGUACGGGAAAUUAGUUUUGAAAAUCGUGCUUGGAGAUGCACAAGAAUAACACUGUCUAAUGCAACAGGAACCUUACUCAGAGAAGGAAAAUGGGUUGCAUUAGGUGGAGCUCAUAAAAGGACUUCAUAAAAAUCAUUCUGCUGAAAAGGAAUGGAAAAUUCUCGAGCGAGAUAUUCUAUGAUGGAACUUAGAACCUCGCUUAAAGUUUUGAGUACGGCAGAUUACUGUGUGCGUCAUCACAAAAUAUUUUAAAGAUUUGAAAGUCUGGGCACUGUACCAAGGUU